rnacentral:rRNA from 1 species
UACGUAGGUGGCAAGCGUUGUUCGGAAUUAUUGGGCGUAAAGGGUGAGUAGGCGGUUUGUUAAGUCGGUCGUGAAAGCCCGGGGCUCAACCCCGGAGGGUCGACCGAUACUGGCAGACUAGAGUGCGGUAGGGGAGACUGGAAUUCCUGGUGUAGCGGUGAAAUGCGCAGAUAUCAGGAGGAACACCGGUGGCGAAGGCGGGUCUCUGGGCCGUAACUGACGCUGAGGAGCGAAAGCGUGGGGAGCGAACAGG